AUGACAAGCAAGCAUGCAAAGAUCCAAAGAAAUACGCUUAAAGAGCUUGAGAUUGAGGAUGAACGUAACCACCACAAAAUGGUUCGCUAUCAUCGUCUCGUCUCUGAAUUGGACUUUCAUGUUUCUUGCUAUCUUUCUCACAACAUGCUUAGCUUCAGAAAAAGAACAGCUAAAGUAGCCUGCAGAAAGAGCUGGAACAUAGAAGAUUUGCACAUGAUAAAGAGUUUCCUUUUUUGCGGGCCGUCGACGGACCAACCGCCCAGCCCGGGACCAAAGGGUCGGGCCGAGAUAUCUACUCCUAAUGGAGCAGUUGGUGAAGGAGCGACGACCCCUGGAUCUAUUCGCGACGCGAACGCCGCCGCCUGGCAGAUCCCAGGCGCUAGCCGCGGAUCCCUUUGCCGGCUCCGAGGGGUCGUGGAGGCGCCGUCGUCGAGGUCCCAAAGGAGGCGCCGCCGCCAUCGUUGUGGACCUCUGGGUCGCCAUCUGGACACCUCUGCUGAGGCAUCAACCACCGUGCUCCCGUCCUCCGGUUCCUCCUGCGUUCGCCACCAUGCGAUCGCCUUCCUCCCUCAGGUUCUUGUACGGAACAUACCACCAAACCCCGAUGAAUCAGUUAGCAAGCCUGUGGAACAUUUCUUCCUUGUCAAUCAUCCUGAUCAUCAUUUGAAACAUCAGGUACGUACUGCCUACUGCUCCCUUGUCCCUUGCUACCGGCUGGGGAUGCUCGGCGGGCAGUCCCUGCUCUCAUUUUCCUCCAGCCUCUGGAGCAACAAUUGUAGCAAGAACAAAUCAGACGGAACAAGUUUGCUACGGGUGGGUGUGCAUCAAGCUGCUUCGUUGCCGGCAGCGAGUAAUCUCACACAUGUUUAUGGCGCAUAUGUACCAGGAAAUUCAAAUGCUUACGGCUUUUUUGUUGAUCCCUUCCCUGUAGGUUCUGAUCAUACGUGCGAGGGGAAUCAGGUAGGGCUUGAUGCGCCUUUCAUACGAAAUGUUGAUGAGAAUUACCCAAGUAGUCCAGGGGGUGGUUCUUCAAUCUUCAGCAAAUCAUCAUCGCCCAUAAAUAAAUCAUCUCUUGCCCGCUUCCUCUGUCCGGUUGUCAACUCAAAUUGCUUUGGUUCACAAAUUCGUUUCAUCGUACAUCUAGCUAACUACUCCAUGAUCACAGCAGUAAACAUUGAUAAGAGUACAAGCAUUGGAGGAGUACUCACCACGUUCGAGGAAGUCGUCAUCAUGGUGGUGGUGGUCGAGGAAGUCGUAGGUGCUGGUGGCAUCAUCACGGAGCAGGCACCAUCUUCUCCUCGACUUAAAAUGUAG
rnacentral:rRNA from 1 species